rnacentral:rRNA from 1 species
UACGUAGGGUGCGAGCGUUAAUCGGAAUUACUGGGCGUAAAGCGUGCGCAGGCGGUUUUGUAAGCCAGGUGUGAAAUCCCCGGGCUCAACCUGGGAAUGGCAUUUGGGACUGCAAGGCUGGAGUGCGGCAGAGGAGACUGGAAUUCCUGGUGUAGCAGUGAAAUGCGCAGAUAAUCAGGAGGAACACCGGUGGCGAAGGCGGUUCUCUGGGCAUUACCUGACGCUGAGGAGCGAAAGUGUGGGGAGCGAACAGG